rnacentral:rRNA from 1 species
AUGAGGAAUUUAAAACCUGAAUUAUUAGUAGUUAAGUGCUUGAAAAUUAAGAUAGAUGGCGGUAUUUUAGUCUAUUCAGAGGAAUCUGCCCUGUGAUUGAUAUUCCACGAUUUAAAUUACUUAAAUUUUGAGUUUGCAUAUCGCUGUAGAUGGAAUAUUUCUAUUGAACGGUAAUAUUCAUAAGUUUUAAAGAAAAGAAAUCAAGUCAAGAUGUAGCUUAUAUUUAAGAAGAGGUGGAUUACAUUAUUUAUAUAUGUGGUUAGUUGAUUGAAAUGUUAACUAUAAAAUGGAUUUGAUAGUAAUUUUUUAUUAAAAUUUAAAGGAUGAUUAAAGCUCUAAAAU